rnacentral:rRNA from 1 species
AUUGAACGCUGGCUGCAGGCCUAACACAUGCAAGUCGAGCGGAUGAAGGGAGCUUGCUCCUGGAUUCAGCGGCGGACGGGUGAGUAAUGCCUAGGAAUCUGCCUGGUAGUGGGGGAUAACGUCCGGAAACGGGCGCUAAUACCGCAUACGUCCUGAGGGAGAAAGUGGGGGAUCUUCGGGCCUCACGCUAUCAGAUGAGCCUAGGUCGGAUUAGCUAGUUGGUGGGGUAAAGGCCUACCAAGGCGACGAUCCGUAACUGGUCUGAGAGGAUGAUCAGUCACACUGGAACUGAGACACGGUCCAGACUCCUACGGGAGGCAGCAGUGGGGAAUAUUGGACAAUGGGCGAAAGCCUGAUCCAGCCAUGCCGCGUGUGUGAAGAAGGUCUUCGGAUUGUAAAGCACUUUAAGUUGGGAGGAAGGGCAGUAAGUUAAUACCUUGCUGUUUUGACGUUACCAACAGAAUAAGCACCGGCUAACUUCGUG